AGUUAAAAAUCAUCAUUUGUGUUCUACUGAAGAAACAAAGUCACCUACAUCUUGGAUGCCCUGGGGGUAAGCAGAUAAACAUCACAUUUUCAUUUUUGGGGAACUAUCCCUUUAAAAUAUUUUCUCUUCAUUUGUAUUCUCAAAUGAAAGAAAACAAAACAUUACUUCUAAUACUACUACUACAAAAAUGUAAACAAUUUGAACUACUACACUGAUGUGAAGCUGUAUGAUUUUUAACCUUCCAUUUCUGUUCUCCUGCAGUGCAUGAGAUCUGCAUCAUCUCCAGGUAGAGCACACCCAAAGCCUCACUGCACCAAAGGGAAAACAUCUAGGAGGAUCUUGCCACGUCUGUCAAUUAGGUAUCUCUGCAGAACAAAAAGGCUGUUUCCCAAUCAGUAGGCAUUUGUCAACCACUUUGCCUGAAUUCCUUAAAUCAUAAAGGCCCACCCCAGUGGAUUAAAGCAAGUUGGGUAAAGUGGUUGAAAACCACCCGUUGUGGAUUUUACCAAUGCACAAAUGACUGGGGAACACCCGUUAGCAUUCUGCAGAGAUACCUACUUGCACAUCUCAGACACGGGUCCAGGAUGAGAACCUGGUUGGCUUGGACUUGUCACCCUCACAUCCUGAAUCUUUCUGGAUCACCUCACAUUGUCACAGGUAAUAUCAAAGUAGCCGGUACUAACACUAACAUGCACUCCGCAGUUGGACAUAAUUAAGAGGUAACAUUUAAAUGUAUUUGUAUAUAAAAACAUCAGAUUAAUGUCUUGAAUGCAAAUUUAUUUUAAAACAGAGAAACAAAAACACAUAUAUUAAACAAGCAGACAUAACAAUAAAUUAAAACAUCAAACUGACAGUUGAAAUGAGUUAUAUAAAUUGAACACACUAUUUUACUACUAUUAGACUACUAUUUACUACUGUUACUAGACUAUUUUGAAAUGAGUUUUUUAAAUUGAACACUAUUUUACUAUUAAACUACUAUUUACUACUGUUACUGGACUAUUUUGAAAAUGAAUAAUAUAUAAAUUGAACACACUAUUUUACUAUUGCACUACUAUUUACUUCCUUUUAGCUCUUCUCUGAAAAUAAAAUUAGCUCUCUGAUUCUGCAAACUCCACAUCCAGCACACGGUUGUGUGUAUGCUGGAUUUUUACUUUGGUUGGGAGUUUGGCGAUUAAAUCCACCACCCUCCCAUUGUACAGUUUUUCUGGAAUGCUGAAUUCCUCAAAAUUGCUGCAGAGGAGAGUGAGGUUUCCAUUUUCUUCGGAGACUCCAAUGAUGUCCAUGUACUCCGUCACUACUUUCCUCUUAGCAGUCUGCAUCAUAAAGAAAAUACAAUUUAUAAUCUGGCUUGACAUCUUGUUACAGAGAUUUCACUCAAAUAAAAAUUGUGAUUUACCCACUUUCAUCAAUAUUGCUAUAGCAGAAUUAAGGAAACUUUCGUUGGGAAUGUGUCAACUUGGAAUGUGUAUGCCUUGAAUGUGAUGAAAGUUUAACUUUUGAAAAACGCAUAUCAACAUCUUGCAUUUUCUCACGUUUUUAGAUGCACAGACAUGUUGUUUGAACCGGCCCUAAGUUGUUUCUACUGGCUGGCAAGUCUAUGCAGUCAUCGCACCAGCACUGUGUGGGAUGAGGAAUUCAAUUUUCCUCUUCCAUUCCCCAAAAGAAAAAUUUUGAGGUGUGUGAGCUCCACCUCAUCUUUGAGGUAGAGCUCACACAGAGCCUCAUCUCUCCAGAGAGAAACUUCCAGCAGCUUUUGGCCACAUCUUAAGGUGAGGUCCAGGAUGGGGACAUGGCUGCCUUGGU